UUUGAUCAUGAAUCAGAUUGAACGCUGGCGGGAUGCUUUACACAUGCAAGUCGAACGGCGGCACGGACUUCGGUCUGGUGGCGAGUGGCCGAACGGGUGAGUAAUGUAUCGGAACGUGCCUAUUGGCAGGGGAUAACUACGCGAAAGGCGUAGCUAAUACCGCAUGCGCCCUUCAAGGGGAAAGCGGGGGACCUUCGGGCCUCGCACUAUUAGGCGGCCGAUAUCGGAUUAGCUGGUUGGUGGGGUAACGGCUCACCAAGGCGACGAUCCGUAGCUGGUGCGGACGACCAGCCACACUGGGACGGGAACACGGCCCAGACUCCUACGGGGAGGCAGCAGUGGGGAAUUUUGGACAAUGGAAACCCUGAUCCAGCCACAUCCGCAUUAUUGCGAUGAAGGCCUUCAGGUUGUAAAGCACUUUUGGCAGGAAAGAAACGGCACGGAUAAUACCCCGUGCAACUGACAGUACCUGCGAAUAAACGCAAUAACUACGUACCCAGCAGCCGCGGUAACACGUAAGUGCAAGCGUUAAUCGGAAUUACUGGGCGUAAAGCGUGCGCAGGCGGUUCGGAAAAGAAAGAUGUGAAAUCUGAAGGCUUAACUUUGGAACUGCAUUUUUAACUACCGAGCUAGAGUGUGUCAGAGGGAGGUGGAAUUCCGCUGAUGUAGCAGUGAAAUGCGUAGAUAUGCGGAGAACACCGAUAUGGCGAAGGCAACCUCCUGGGAUAACACUGACGCUCAUGCACGAAAGCAGUAAGGAGCAAACGGGGAUUAGAUACCCUGGUAGUCCGCCUAAACAGUAUCAACUAGCUGUUGGGAGCCUUCAGGCCUUGUUGGCCUGGCUAACGCGUGAAGUUGACCGCCUGGGAGAUGCAGUCGCAAGAUUAAAACUCAAAGGAAUUGACGGGGACCCGCAAGCGGUGGAUGAUGUGGAUUAAUUCGAUGCAACGCGAAAAACCUUACCUUGACAUGUCUGGAAUCCCGAAGAGAUUUGGGAGUGCUCGCAAGAGAACCGGAACACAGGUGCUGCAUGGCUGUCGUGUCGUGUCGUGUAAGAGAUGUUGAGUUAAGUCCCGCAACAGGCACAACCCUUGUCAUUAGUUGCUACGAGGGCACUCUAUUGAGACUGCCGGUGACAAACCGGAGGAAGGUGGGGAUGACGUCGAGUCCUCAUGGCCCUUAUGGUGAGGCUUCACACGUCAUACAAUGGUCAGGACAGAGGGUCGCCAACCCGCGAGGGGAGGCCAAUCCCGAAACCCGAUCGUAGUCCGGAUCGCAGUCUGCAGCUCGACUGCGUGAAGUCAGAAUCGCUAGUAAUCGCCGGAUCGGCAUGUCGCGGUGGUACGUUCCCGGGUCUUGUACACCGCCCGUCACACCAUGGGAGUGGGUUUUACCAGAAGUAGUUAGCUAACCGUAAGGGGAGGGCGAUUACCACGGUAAGUUCAUGACUGGGGUGAAGUCGUAACAAGGUAG
rnacentral:rRNA from 1 species